GAUGAAGAACGCAGCGAAAUGCGAUAAGUAAUGUGAAUUGCAGAAUUCCGUGAAUCAUCGAAUCUUUGAACGCACAUUGCGCCCUCCGGUAUUCCGGGGGGCAUGCCUGUCCGAGCGUCAUUUGCAACCCUCAAGCCCGGCUUGUGUGAUGGGUGCCGUCCCCUACGGGACGCGCCCCGAAGGCAAUGGCGGCGUCGCGGUUAUCCGAUCAGCCAAAGUGUAUGGGGCUUUGUCACUCACUUUACGGCCCGGACCGGCGCCAGUCCGAAUCAAUCUUUUUUCUAAAGUUGACCUCGGAUCAGGUAGGGAUACCCGCUGAACUUAAGCAUAUCAAUAAGCGGAGGA
rnacentral:misc_RNA from 1 species